UUCACCUGUGCUGCUGGAAGGCCUGGCUUCUAGACCCAUUUAAGAGCUGACUACCAAUGGGAAAGGAUCUUUUCUGGAGAUCUCUCCUCUGGAGUUUUGCACCAAGCCCGCGAUGCUUAUGAAGACAUACAAGAUGAAAGAAAAUUCAGUAACUGCAGAAUAUAUCUCUUAAUUCUUCCCGGAACUGCAGUACCUGAUUCUGGAAAGGCCAUAACUUCUUUCUUACAUCUAACAACUUUAUUGAAGAGCUGUGGGUGCCUUGUUGACUUGCUUUUACUGAAGGUCUGAGCAAUUCUGCUGCAUCAGAUUUCAGGAGAUCUUCACUGGCCUGAACAAAGUGCCACCAGCAUUUUUACUUCUAGAUUUCCAGAGAGCUUGACAUAGGUAAACUGCUUUACUACCUGUGGAUGUGAAUUCAUAGAAGAAACUGAUGAGGACAAGAGAACCUGCAUUCCUUGCAAGAUCCCUGGAGCUGCUUCAUGUGAAAUAUCAUCCAGUCUCUCCUGAGACUAUUCAUGUCAACUGCAGCAGUCUUUCUGAUAGGUGUGCACAUUAACAGCAGGAAAGAGAAAAGAUGUGGAAUCCCAAAUAUGGAUGAAUUUGUUUUUCUGCUGCUGCUGAUGGUGGGACUGCAAUACUGAAGGACUUGUUUAUGAAAAUGCUAUUGCAAAUGUGAGAAUCAGAACAUGCCUGCCUACCUAACAGAACUACGUAAGAAACUUGGGGAAGACAAAGAUGAGUUUUCUGAGUGGUGCUGAAUAUAUCAGUUAUAUCCCUGGGAUUUAGCCAUAAAAAAAUGAAGAGAGGUACAGAACUAUUACACCUCACAACUCAGUGCUGGGCUGUAGACACCAGGCCAGGUGGUACAUUCAGCUACGUUACUGCAGCAACGUACAAGCGGAUUAAUUUUCAGCCAAGAAAAAGAACCGUUUUUCCAUUCUUUGAAUAUUUGAACUGUUCCUAAUCUUUUCACAGAAAUAAA